rnacentral:rRNA from 1 species
CCUACGGGAGGCAGCAGUAGGGAAUUUUCGUCAAUGGGCGCAAGCCUGAACGAGCGAUGCCGCGUGAGUGAAGAAGGCCUUCGGGUCGUAAAGCUCUGUUGCGGGGGAAAAAAGGCAGCAUCAGGAAAUGGGUGCUGACUGAUGGUGCCCCGCCAGAAAGUCACGGCUAACUCCGUGCCAGCAGCCGCGGUAAUACGGAGGAUGCGAGCGUUAUCCGGAUUUAUUGGGUUUAAAGGGUGCGUAGGCGGGCUUUUAAGUCAGCGGUAAAAAUUCGGGGCUCAACCCCGUCCGGCCGUUGAAACUGGGGGCCUUGAGUGGGCGAGAAGAAGGCGGAAUGCGUGGUGUAGCGGUGAAAUGCAUAGAUAUCACGCAGAACCCCGAUUGCGAAGGCAGCCUUCCGGCGCCCUACUGACGCUGAGGCACGAAAGUGCGGGGAUCGAACAGGAUUAGAUACCCCAGUAGUC